rnacentral:rRNA from 1 species
AGUGGACGCUGGCGGUAGGCCUAACACAUGCAAGUCGAACGGCAGCACAGUAAGAGCUUGCUCUUACGGGUGGCGAGUGGCGGACGGGUGAGGAAUACAUCGGAAUCUACUUUUUCGUGGGGGUUAACGUAGGGAAACUUACGCUAAUACCGCAUACGACCUACGGGUGAAAGCAGGGGAUCUUCUGACCUUGCGCGAUUGAAUGAGCCGAUGUCGGAUUAGCUAGUUGGGGGGGUAAAGGCCCACCAAGGCGACGAUCCGUAGCUGGUCUGAGAGGAUGGUCGGCCACACUGGAACUGAGACACGGUCCAGACUCCUACGGGAGGCAGCAGUGGGGAAUAUUGGACAAUGGGCGCAAGCCUGAUCCAGCCAUACCGCGUGGGUGAAGAAGGCCUUCGGGUUGUAAAGCCCUUUUGUUGGGAAAGAAAAGCAGCAGGUUAAUACCCCGCUGUUCUGACGGUACCCAAAGAAUAAGCACCGGCUAACUUCGUG